rnacentral:tRNA from 1 species
AAAAAUUUAGUUAAAAAUAUAACAUCAAUUUGUCAAAUUGAAAUUAAUAAUAAUAUUAAUUUUUA